GUACUGAUGAAGAGUCCCAAACUAGGCAGACGAAACAGCUGUCCAGUAC
rfam:Trichobilharzia regenti genome assembly, scaffold: TRE_scaffold0007702